GACUGAGUGGCGGACGGGUGAGUAACGCGUGGGUAACCUGCCUCAUACAGGGGGAUAACAGUUGGAAACGGCUGCUAAUACCGCAUAAGCGCACAGGAUCGCAUGAUCCGGUGUGAAAAACUCCGGUGGUAUGGGAUGGACCCGCGUCUGAUUAGCCAGUUGGCAGGGUAACGGCCUACCAAAGCGACGAUCAGUAGCCGACCUGAGAGGGUGACCGGCCACAUUGGGACUGAGACACGGCCCAAACUCCUACGGGAGGCAGCAGUGGGGAAUAUUGCACAAUGGGGGAAACCCUGAUGCAGCGACGCCGCGUGAGCGAAGAAGUAUUUCGGUAUGUAAAGCUCUAUCAGCAGGGAAGAAGAAUGACGGUACCUGACUAAGAAGCACCGGCUAAAUACGUGCCAG
rnacentral:rRNA from 1 species